rnacentral:rRNA from 1 species
UACGUAGGGUGCAAGCGUUAAUCGGAAUUACUGGGCGUAAAGCGUGCGUAGACGGUUACAUAAGUCGGGUGUGAAAGCCCCGGGCUCAACCUGGGAAUUGCAUUCGAGACUGCGUAGCUAGGGUACGGUAGAGGGAAGCGGAAUUUCCGGUGUAGCGGUGAAAUGCGUAGAUAUCGGAAGGAACACCAGUGGCGAAAGCGGCUUCCUGGACCAGUACCGACGUUCAGGCACGAAAGCGUGGGGAGCAAACAGG